rnacentral:rRNA from 1 species
GCUUAACACAUGCAAGUCGAGCGGCAGCGCGGGGGCAACCCUGGCGGCGAGCGGCGAACGGGUGAGUAACACAUCGGAACGUACCCUAUCGUGGGGGAUAACGAAUCGAAAGAUUCGCUAAUACCGCAUACGACCUGAGGGUGAAAGCGGGGGAUCGCAAGACCUCGCGCGAUUGGAGCGGCCGAUGUCGGAUUAGCUAGUUGGUGAGGUAAAGGCUCACCAAGGCGACGAUCCGUAGCUGGUCUGAGAGGACGACCAGCCACACUGGGACUGAGACACGGCCCAGACUCCUACGGGAGGCAGCAGUGGGGAAUUUUGGACAAUGGGGGCAACCCUGAUCCGGCCAUUCCGCGUGAGUGAAGAAGGCCUUCGGGUUGUAAAGCUCUUUCGGCAGGAACGAAACGGUGCAGGCUAAUACCCUGUAUCAAUGACGGUACCUGAAGAAGAAGCACCGGCUAACUACGUGCCAGCAGCCGCGGUAAUAC